rnacentral:rRNA from 1 species
CCUACGGGGGGCAGCAGUAGGGAAUCUUCCACAAUGGGCGAAAGCCUGAUGGAGCAACGCCGCGUGGGUGAAGAAGGUCUUCGGAUCGUAAAACCCUGUUGUUAGAGAAGAAAGUGCGUGAGAGUAACUGUUCACGUUUCGACGAUAUCUAACCAGAAACCCACGGCUAACUACGUGCCAGCAGCCGCGGUAAUACGGAGGUGGCAAGCGUUAUCCGGAUUUAGUGGGUGUAAAGGGAACGCAGGCGGUUUUUUAAGUCUGAUGUGAAAGUCUUCGGCUUAACAGGCGUAGUGCAUUGGAAACUGGGAGACUUGAGUGCAGAAGAGGAGAGUGGAACUCCAGGUGUAGCGGUGAAAUGCGUAGAUAUAUGGAAGAACACCAGUGGCGAAAGCGGCUCUCUGGUCUGUAACUGACGCUGAGGUUCGAAAGCGUGGGUAGCAAACAGGAUUAGAUACCCUUGUAGUC